rnacentral:rRNA from 1 species
CUACUCUUGACAUCCAGAGAACUUUCCAGAGAUGGAUUGGUGCCUUCGGGAACUCUGAGACAGGUGCUGCAUGGCUGUCGUCAGCUCGUGUUGUGAAAUGUUGGGUUAAGUCCCGCAACGAGCGCAACCCUUGUCCUUAGUUACCAGCACGUAAUGGUGGGCACUCUAGGGAGACUGCCGGUGACAAACCGGAGGAAGGUGGGAUGACGUCAAGUCAUUAUGGCCCUUACGGCCUGGGCUACACACGUGCUACAAUGGUCGGUACAGAGGGUUGCCAAGCCGCGAGGUGGAGCUAAUCCCACAAAACCGAUCGUAGUCCGGAUCGCAGUCUGCGACUCGACUGCGUGAAGUCGGAAUCGCUAGUAAUCGCGAAUCAGAAUGUCGCGGUGAAUACGUUCCC